rnacentral:rRNA from 1 species
GACGAACCGAGCGAACGUUGUUCGGAAUCACCGGGCGUAAAGGGCGCGUAGGCGGCCGAUCAAGUCGGGGGUGAAAGCCUGUGGCUUAACCACAGAAUGGCCUUCGAUACUGUUUGGCUUGAGACCGGAAGAGGUUAGUGGAACUGCGAGUGUAGAGGUGAAAUUCGUAGAUAUUCGCAAGAGCACCAGUGGCGAAGGCGGCUGACUGGUCCGGUUCUGACGCUGAGGCGCGAAAGCGUGGGGAGCAAACAGG